rnacentral:rRNA from 1 species
UACGAGAGGUCCAAACGUUAUUCGGAAUCACUGGGCCUACAGAGUUCGUAGGCGGUCCAGAAAGUGGGGUGUGAAAGCCCUCGGCUCAACCGAGGAACUGCGCUCCAAACUACUGGGCUAGAGGGAGAUAGAGGUGAGCAGAACUGAUGGUGGAGCGGUGAAAUGCGCAGAUAUCAGGAGGAACACCCGUAGCGAAGGCGGCACUCUGGGCCGAUUCUGACACUGAGGAGCGAAAGCGUGGGGAGCGAACAGG